UAAUGAAAUGUUGUUCAAUUGAGACACUUUUACUUGUUCAAAGUUCUCUCUAGAGUUGUCUUCUUGUUAGACAAAUUUCUAGAUUGUUCCUAAUAGUGUUGGCCUAACCUCACUCUCGAAAUUAACUGUUAGCCUAACCUCACUUAGAUUCACCGUCAUAAUUUUCAUCUCUUUCAAAUUUCUACAUUUUUUCAUGCUUCUACAAUAGUUUUCAUUAUCCCUAGAAGAUAUUCAAAUCAAAACAAUGAAAAAGAUCUACAAAUGAAGAUGCAAGCUAGGAUUGUAUCAUUUGAUAAUCAAAGCUUUGGUUUAGGAGAUAAGUAGCUUCUUCUUUGAUUUUUUUUAAUAUCGUGUUGUUCAUAUUUUUUCUUAAUUCUCUUCAAUGUUUACAUAUUGAUUUUGUGUUUUUUGUCUUUUUGUUUGGUUCAAAUGAAUUGUUGUUACUUGAACCUUCUUCAUGUAUGUCCCUUUAGGUUUUGCUUUGUUCAUGUUCAUGUGUUCUUUUGAAUUUUGUCGAGUUUUCUUCAAAUUUGUUGAGUGAAAUUUUCUUAUAAUUGAGUCAUUUUGAUUUUAAAAUCAUAUAUGUUUUGUCUAGAGUAAUGUUUAGUCCAAAAAUUGUCAUAAGCUCCAAUAAUUAGCUUUUUCAAAUUUUUUUCAAACUUUUUCAUAGAUUAAAACUCUUGAGUGCUUUUGAUUUUCAUUUUUGAGUUCCUAAAUUGCUACUAGAUCAUUAGCAGUUUUGUUUAAAGUUAGGGUUCCAUGAUCUUCUUCAAAAGUCAUUUUCGAAAAUUCUAAAAAAUAUUCCAAAAAAAUUCUGAGGUGCAGAAAGAAAAUCAGGAGGUUCGAAUAUCAAUCUGAAACGUUUUUCAGAUUUGCUUGAGCUGUGCAAUUUUCAUCCGCCUUUUUCAUCUUGUGCCUUCAUCUGUAUCAUCUUUUGUGUGAAAUUUUUUAUUCGCGUUGAAUUCUGUUGAGAUUGUUGUGUAUUUUCAUCUGCGUUCUUCAUCUUGUUCUUCAAUUUUUUGGAGCGAUAUUGGAAAUCUAUGAUUGGAAUCGGUUCUAUAUUGGAUCGUUGAAGCAUUGAAGCCAGUUGUUAGUGCUAGUGCGAAACGGAGAAAUUUCAGCGACAGAGAAUCGGGAACGGCAGUGGCAUUUUUCGGCGAAAACAGUGGAGCUGGUUUGCAAAGUGUAAUCGGAGGAACGAUGCGGUAUCGAUUCCGAACGGCGGUUUUACGUUUUCCGGCGAGAUAGGUGAACGAAUAACUGACCUCGUUGAUCUGUUUGAUUCUGGCAAUAUCGUUUUCAGUUGUUUGCGGUAGAGGAAUUUUAUUCCGGUUGCUGGAAAUACAAAGGUUUGUUUCAAAAAGUUAAGCUCUCCUGGAAAUAAAAUAGGUAAUGAGUUUGUUUGUGGAAAGAAUUGGAUGUUUCAAUAUGCUAGUUCUAUAAUUGGAAUGGGUUUAAACAUUUCUUCCCGCAGUAGGAGCUUUUGGUAAAAACAUUGUUGAAGCAGUUGCCUUUGGUUGAAAACUGCAGUUAAGGUGUUUGUUGAAUUGAUUCAGUGAAAAAUAUAUAUAUAUCUAAAGUGGUAAAAGCUUAUUGGAAAUCUGGUUUUCUGCACUUCUGUAAAUUUUGGUGCACCUGAAGUAGUUUUUUUUGUCUUGUUUAUAAUUUUAAACUUUAUUCUUGGCUUCUUUUGACGUUCUGCAUAUGUUUCAUGGCUGUCUGAAAUGUGUGAGUGAAGGAAGAAGACGAUGAACAGUGUAAAAGAUAGAAGAAGAGAGAAUCCGAGUAUAUUGCUCUAAUUGUUUUAUUCUGCAUGGCCAUCUUUCACGUGCAUGCUUGUGGCACUUUUUUCAUGUAUUCAAUCUGAGCUAACUAAUAUGUAUAUAUACACGUGAACUAAGGAGGACGGCUCAGCCCAAAAGGGUUCGGCCCAAUCCAGUACAAAACAAAAACGCUAAAACGCCCCCUCAAGCUGGUGGGUGAAUGUUUAACACACCUAGCUUGGAGAGAAAUCUGUAAAACAUCUCUCUGUUAAGAGACUUGGUAAAAAGGUCUGCAGGUUGAUCCUCACUGCUGAUUGGUAGUAAGUGAAAGAGACCUCCAUGAAGCUUCUCCCUUACCACAUGGCAAUCUAUCUCUAUGUGCUUGGUCCGUUCAUGGAAGCUGCUAUUUUGCGCUAUGUGUCUCGCUGACUGGUUAUCACAGAAUAAGCUAGCAACUCCAUUGGUGGUUACGUGAAGAUCUUCGAGCAAGAAAGUCAACCAUUGUAUCUCGCAACUUGUAGCUGCAAGAGCUCGGUAUUCAGCUUCAGAUGAGGAGCGGGAUAUGGUGCUCUGUUUCUUGGUUCUCCAUGAUACCAAGGAUUCUCCAAGGAAGAUACAGAAUCCUGUGGUGGAGCGCCGCGUUGUAAUGCAUGAUGCCCAGUCUGAGUCGCUGAAUGCCUUGAUUUGCAAACUGGUAUCCUUGGGAUAAAAAAGGCCUUGUGCUGGAGAAGUNNNNNNNNNNNNNNNNNNNNNNNNNNNNNNNNNNNNNNNNNNNNNNNNNNNNNNNNNNNNNNNNNNNNNNNNNNNNNNNNNNNNNNNNNNNNNNNNNNNNAGGAUCCUCUGUGCAGCUUGUUCAUGUGCCUUCGCAGGGGAUUCAACAAACUGGCUAAGGAAUUGCACAGCAAAGCUAAUGUCUGGUCGUGUGUUCACUAAGUAGAGCAGCCUUCCAAUGAUUCUUCUAUACAAAGAUAUAUCAUGAACUUUUGUAUUUCUGUCAAACAGUUUUUCAUUCUUUUGCGCCAUGGGUGUGGCCGCUGGUUUUGCACCUAGCAUUCCUGCAUCAGCCAAAAUCUCAAGAGCAUAUUUACGUUGACAAAUGUGGAUUCCCUCCCUAGUUCUAGCUAUCUCGAGUCCUAGGAAGAACUUUAAAUGACCUAAGUCUUUUAUUUUGAAGGCUGCAUCUAAAGAACUCUUUACUAUAUUAAUUUCAUUGGCGUUAUUUCCAGCAAUAAGGAUGUCAUCAACAUAUACAAGUAAAGCAAUGAAAGAGCCUUCAGUGUUUCUUAUAAAAAGAGAAUUGUCGGCUUUAGAGCGAGUAAAGUUGAUGGAAUAAAGAAAGGAAGUGAGCUUGUCAUACCAUCGUUUGCUUGCUUGUUUUAGACCGUAGAGAGAUUUCAUUAAUCGGCAUACCUGAUGUGUUUUGUUGGAAGCAAUACCUGGUGGGAUUUCCAUGUAGACUUCUUCUUCUAGGUCACCGUGCAAGAAAGCGUUGUUCACGUCGAGCUGUUCAAGAUGCCAGUCCAUGGCGGAGGCUACUGCAAGGAUGGUGCGAAUCGUCGUGAGUCUUGCCACCGGUGAAUAGGUUUCCAUGUAAUCAAUGCCUUCACGCUGUGUGUAUCCCUUUGCCACAAGCCUUGCUUUGUAUCUUUCUAUGUCUCCGUUAGCUUUUCGUUUGAUUCUGAAUACCCACUUGCACCCAAUGGCUGUCUUGUUUGGUGGAAGUUCCGUAAUCUUCCAAGUUUCAUUUUCUUCGAGGGCCUUUAUUUCAGCUUUCAUGGCUUCCCUCCAUUCUGGAUAUUGCUUGGCUUCCUCAUAGUUUUGAGGUUCAUUUUGGCAUGAAAUUGACAAAGCAUACUUUAAGUGAUGUUCUGCCAAAUUCUUGUAAGAUAUAACAGAGCUAAGAGGAUACAACACCUUGGUUUUCUGUGUUGCAUUGUUGCAUGGUGAGGUCAUCAUGUUGUGAUGGUAAUCUUCCAAGUAAGCUGGUGGUCUCUUAACUCUUGAAGAUCGCCUGAGUUCUUCUUGUUCAGCGUUUUCCUCUGUCGCAGUAGGUAUGGGAAUGGCAGCCUCACCCAUCGUAAAUUCAGUGUCUUCAAAAGUAGUCUCGUCACUGUUUUCCCUUUUUGAGUUACAAAAGUAGGUUUCAUAGAAUAUCACAUUUCUUGACACAAGUAUCUCUCUAGUAUGGACAUCCAUAACCACAUAGCCUUUAGUACCAUGCUUGAAGCCAAGGAAGAUACAUUUGCGUGCCCUGGGGUCAAGCUUGUGUCUGUUUUGCUCAAGGGUAGAAGCAAAACAGAGACAUCCAAAUACUUUGAUAUUGUAAAGAUCAGGAGCCAUACCAUGCAUUAGUUUAUAUGGACAUUCGUUUUGAAUAACAGGGGAAGGAAGGCGGUUUAUGAGAUGCACAGAAUGAAGAACAGCAUAAGACCAGAAAAUUUUUGGCAAGUUUGACUGAUACAGAAUGCAGCGAGCAAUGUUAAGAAUGUGUUGGUGCUUUCUUUCCACAGUGGAGUUUUGUUCGGGAGUUUCAUUACAGGAAGUUUGGUGAAUUAUACCAUGUUCAUCAUAGAAAUUUUUCCAGCAAAACUCUUUUCCAUUAUCGGUUCUAAUAGCUUUUACACUUUUGUUGAAUUGGUUUUUAACGUGAAUGACAAAACGUUGCAUGUAAUCUCUAGUUUCAUUCUUACUUUUCAUUAAAUGAAUCCAAGUAUAUCUACUGUGAUCGUCAACAACAGUGAGAAAAUAUUUGUGCCCAUGCAAAGAGUGUACAUUUAAAGGUCCCCAUAUAUCCAUGUGAACCAAAUCAAAAACAUGAUCGCUACUAGUUUUGUUUAAAGGAAAGGGAAGCUUAUGUUGUUUAGCAAGGUGACAAGGAGUACAUACAUCAAUGUCAGUAGAGUGUAUAUCCGUGUAUUGUUUGGCAAGUUUUUCUAACACCCUUUUUGAUGGAUGGCCCAUUCUACAGUGCCAUAUAUUUAGCCCCUUGACAGCUUCAAAAUUUUCUUGUUCACGCAGGGAGCAGAUCUGGCUUUCUUUUUCAUCAAUGUGGAGAUGGUAUAGACCAUUCACAAUAUCAGCUUGACCAAUAAUCUUCGAAGUAUAUUUCUCCUGUAUCUGACAAACAUUAUCAGUGAAAACAAGCUUACAUUUUAAAGAACUUAUCAACCUUUGUACAGAUAGAAUGUUCAGGGUGAAAGCAGGUAUAUAUAGCACGUUAUGAAGGGUAAUUUUGUGAGUUAAAAUAACAGUGCCAGCAUGGGUAGCAAUGACAUUAUGAUUAUUUGGCAAUUUGACCUUUACUGGUUUUAUCUCGUAAAAGCUAGUGAAGGAGGUAAUGGAGCACGUUACAUGAUCCGUGGCCCCAGUGUCAAGGAUCCAGAGAUUUUUACCUUCUUUACCUGUGUUAUUUGAUUUCAAAGAGUUUCCUAUGCUGUUAUUUACCACUCUCUGUUUUUCCUUGCACCCCUGAAUCAUGUCCAUAAGCUGUUGUAAUUGUUCAGCGUCAAGAUUUCUCAGAAUUUGGUCAUUGUGAGCAUCGUUGUGUGCGCUCUUUUCUCCCUCUGUUUCACUGGUUUCCUCACUUUUCAUAGUGUUCGCAGCAUAACUCGUUCUUUGCUUGAUCCAAGGAGGAUACCCGUGCUUUGAGUAACACUCAUCAGCCGUGUGAUUCAUCUUAUUGCAAAAAGAACAUUGCUUACCAUAGUUCUUUCCUCUUCCCCUUCCGUAGUUGCGCCAGGAAGGGUUGCUCCCAUUGUUCUUCACAUUCACCUUUUGGCCAUAUUGAUUAGCAUUGUUAAUGAGAAUCUUUGUAUCCACUACUGCACUUUCAGUUAAGUGUCUUUCUUGUUGCUGAACCAAGGAGAAAACACGAUUAACCCCUGGCAGAGGAUCCAUUAGCAGAACUUGCGUCUUUACAGUAUUGUAAUUUUCUCCCAGUCCUUUUAGAAAACACAUGACCCUUUCUGACUCCCUGUAUCCCGCUAUGAUCUUUAUCAUAUUGCACGUACACUUUGAUUUGCAAAUGCAGGUGGGCAGCGGAUGCAGUGAAUCCAGCUCUUCCCACAGAGUUUUAGAAUCAGUAUAGUAUUCGUUGAUGCUCCUUUCACCUUGUUUGAUGGAGUUGAUUUCUUGCAGAAGGUCUGAAACACGAAAAUGACUCCCCUUUGAGAAUCUUUCUUCAAGAUCUUUCCAUAAGUCUCUUGCAUCAUCAAUGUACACCGUGCUUUGAGCGAUCUGUGGAGUAAGGCUUCGUGUAAUCCAAGAAACUACUGUAACAUUGCAUCUUUCCCAAGCCUCGUACUUGGCAUCACUUCGCGGGGGUUCAAGGAUUUCACCGUUGACGAACUUGUAUUUGUUCUUUGACAACAGCGCACGCUUCAUUGCUCUGCUCCACGAGUGCUAGUUUGUUCCAUCAAGAUGUGGCGUAACCAAUACCAUACCUGGGUUUUCUCCAGGAUGAAGGUAAUAUGCACUGGUGGGGUUUUGUUGGUCAUUCUUGGAUGGGUCUUGUUCAUUGACAGCCAUUCUCAAGAGGACAAAGCAAAGGGAGAUAAAACGGGAAAAAAGAAAUGAAAGAUGAGAGCGUAGGGAUAGAAGAGAACCAGUCGCAGCGGAGAGCAGAGCGGGUCUGACCCGCUCUGAUACCAUUUUGACGUUCUGCAUAUGUUUCAUGGCUGUCUGAAAUGUGUGAGUGAAGGAAGAAGACGAUGAACAGUGUAAAAGAUAGAAGAAGAGAGAAUCCGAGUAUAUUGCUCUAAUUGUUUUAUUCUGCAUGGCCAUCUUUCACGUGCAUGCUUGUGGCACUUUUUUCAUGUAUUCAAUCUGAGCUAACUAAUAUAUAUAUAUACACGUGAGCUAAGAAGGACAGAGGCUCAGCCCAAAGGGUUCGGCCCAAUCCAGUAAAAAACAGAAACGCUAAAAGGCCCAAUCCAGUACAAAACAGAAACGCUAAAAGCUUCUGUUAAACUAUUUUGGUGCAGAUUAGUGAAAUUUGGUGGUGUGGUUUUAUGCUGGUGCAGAAUUGUUGUAGCUUAUUCUAUCAGUUGAAUCAGUUUGGUAAUUAGAGUAGUAACUUGGGCAUGGAAAGCUCGCGCUGUAUUGGCUGUCUUAUUGCAAUUUUGGUGAUUUGGAAGUAAAUUGAAGUAAGCGAAUUGAGUUCUGCAGAACUACAAUUUAAAUGGGACCGUGUCAGGGAAGUUAAUUUGGCUAAUUGAAUUGAAAUUGAUUCAUGCAUGGUGCAGUACUUUUUUAUUUGGAAAGGUGUUUUGGCUGGAACAAAUCCACACGUGUUAUAUGUGAGAUUAAAGAGAGAGAGAAAUUCGUUUAAUUGUUUGUGUAGUUUGGCAAUUGAUAUCCGUGAGUUUGUAAAAAUCAAUUCAAAUAGUAAAUUGAAAAUUCAUGUGGACCAGCUGGUAAUGAGUUGAAUUAUGAAAAUUGGAACAAAUUUUGCACUAAACAGCAGAAUUGACCAGAGGAAAGGAAAUUACGUUGUGGGACCCAGUUGGUGAAAUUGAUUUGAAUUUCUUUUGUUGAAUUGGUGAGUUGGAAACGUGAGUGUGGUUUGCUUCUAACGUUUAAAAGUAAAUCCUAGGCCACCUAACGAAACCAACAUGGUGUGAGAAAGAACAGUGCCAAAAUUCCCUGUUUUUGUAAAAAUGUUGGGGAUCCGCUAGAAAUUGGAAUGAGUGCAUGGAAACAGUAAUUGGUAUAGUGUUGAC
rnacentral:lncRNA from 1 species